GACGAACGCUGGCGGCGUGCCUAAUACAUGCAAGUUGAGCGCUGAAGGUUGGUACUUGUACCGACUGGAUGAGCAGCGAACGGGUGAGUACGCGUGGGGAAUCUGCCUUUGAGCGGGGGACAACAUUUGGAAACGAAUGCUAAUACCGCAUAAAAACUUUAAACACAAGUUUUAAGUUUGAAAGAUGCAAUUGCAUCACUCAAAGAUGAUCCCGCGUUGUAUUAGCUAGUUGGUGAGGUAAAGGCUCACCAAGGCGAUGAUACAUAGCCGACCUGAGAGGGUGAUCGGCCACAUUGGGACUGAGACACGGCCCAAACUCCUACGGGAGGCAGCAGGAGGGAAUCUUCGGCAAUGGACGAAAGUCUGACCGAGCAACGCCGCGUGAGUGAAGAAGGUUUUCGGAUCGUAAAACUCUGUUGGUGGAGAAGAACGUUGGUGAGAGUGGAAAGCUCAUCAAGUGACGGUAACUACCCAGAAAGGGACGGCUAACUACGUG
rnacentral:rRNA from 1 species